rnacentral:rRNA from 1 species
GACGAACGCUGGCGGCGUGCUUAACACAUGCAAGUCGAACGGAAAGGCCCUGAUUUUGUGGGGUGCUCGAGUGGCGAACGGGUGAGUAACACGUGAGUAACCUGACCUUGACUUUGGGAUAACUUCAGGAAACUGGGGCUAAUACCGGAUAGGAGCUCCUGCUGCAUGGUGGGGGUUGGAAAGUUUCGGCGGUUGGGGAUGGACUCGCGGCUUAUCAGCUUGUUGGUGAGGUAGUGGCUGACCAAGGCUUUGACGGGUAGCCGGCCUGAGAGGGGGACCGGGGACAAGGGGACUGCGGGACGGAGCAGACUCGUACGGGAGGCAGCAGGCGGGAAUAUUGCACAAUGGGCGGAAGCCUGAUGCAGCGACGCCGCGUUCGUGAUGACGGCCUUCGGGUUGUAAACCGCUUUCGCCUGUUACGAAGCGUGAGUGACGGUAAUGGAUAAAGAAGCACCGGCUAACUACGUG